rnacentral:ncRNA from 1 species
GUUAUCUUUUAUUUUUAACAAAUUUCCCACCUUGAAAUCGGUUCAACCGGAGAUAGGGUCCAACAUCUAGAAGAGCACCACACAUCUUGCGAUGUUUGGUGCCCCCUUGGCAUCCAUUAAAAAUAUGGAGAACCGAGUACCAUCCAUGCUCUAUCGUACU